GUGCCUAAUACAUGCAAGUCGAGCGAACGGACGAGAAGCUUGCUUCUCUGAUGUUAGCGGCGGACGGGUGAGUAACACGUGGAUAACCUACCUAUAAGACUGGGAUAACUUCGGGAAACCGGAGCUAAUACCGGAUAAUAUUUUGAACCGCAUGGUUCAAAAGUGAAAGACGGUCUUGCUGUUACUUAUAGAUGGAUCCGCGCUGCAUUAGCUAGUUGGUAAGGUAACGGCUUACCAAGGCAACGAUGCAUAGCCGACCUGAGAGGGUGAUCGGCCACACUGGAACUGAGACACGGUCCAGACUCCUACGGGAGGCAGCAGUAGGGAAUCUUCCGCAAUGGGCGAAAGCCUGACGGAGCAACGCCGCGUGAGUGAUGAAGGUCUUCGGAUCGUAAAACUCUGUUAUUAGGGAAGAACAUAUGUGUAAGUAACUGUGCACAUCUUGACGGUACCUAAUCAGAAAGCCACGGCUAACUACGUGCCAGCAGCCGCGGUAAUACGUAGGUGGCAAGCGUUAUCCGGAAUUAUUGGGCGUAAAGCGCGCGUAGGCGGUUUUUUAAGUCUGAUGUGAAAGCCCACGGCUCAACCGUGGAGGGUCAUUGGAAACUGGAAAACUUGAGUGCAGAAGAGGAAAGUGGAAUUCCAUGUGUAGCGGUGAAAUGCGCAGAGAUAUGGAGGAACACCAGUGGCGAAGGCGACUUUCUGGUCUGUAACUGACGCUGAUGUGCGAA
rnacentral:rRNA from 1 species